rnacentral:rRNA from 1 species
GGUCAAGCUAGGAAGGGCACACGGUGGAUGCCUUGGCGUCGAGAGGCGAUGAAGGACGUGGGCAGCUGCGAAAAGCUUCGGGGAGUGGCUAACACACUUUGAUCCGAAGAUAUCCGAAUCGGGAAACCGUCUGGGGUCAUACCCAGAAGUUCAACGCUGAAUUCAUAGGCGUUGGAUAGCCAACCCAGGGAACUGAAACAUCUAAGUACCUGGAGGAAAAGACAUCAACCGAGACUCCCCUAGUAGCGGCGAGCGAACGGGGACUAGCCUAAACCAUACCAAUGUAAGCUUAGGGGCGUUGUUGGUAUGGGGUCGUGGGUCCAGUGGGAGAGCGCCCUAAUGCUCUCACGGAGUUACAAAACCAAACGUUAGAUGAACGAUCUGGAAAGGUCGGCGAUACGAGGUGACAGCCCUGUAGUCGAAAGCGUUUGGUCUCUGCACUGGUACCCGAGUACCACGGGGCACGUGGAAUCCUGUGGGAAUCUGGGAGGACCAUCUUCCAAGGCUAAGUACUACUCGACGACCGAUAGUGAACUAGUACCGUGAGGGAAAGGUGAAAAGCACCCCGGCAAGGGGAGUGAAAUAGUACCUGAAACCGUGUGUCUACAAGCAGUCGAAGCACUAUGCCCUUCGGGGAAUGUGCGACGGCGUACCUUUUGCAUAAUGGGCCUACGAGUUACGCUUUGUUGCAAGGUUAAGCCGAUAGGUGAAGCCGUAGGGAAACCGAGUCCAAAUAGGGCGAACUUAGUAGCAGGGCGUAGACCCGAAACCGAGCGAUCUAUCCUUGGGCAGGUUGAAGCGUGGGUAAAACUGCGUGGAGGACCGAACCCACUGAAGUUGAAAAUUCAGGGGAUGACCUGAGGAUCGGAGUGAAAGGCUAAUCAAGCUCGGAGAUAGCUGGUUCUCCGCGAAAUAUAUUGAGGUAUAGCGUCUAGUGAAUUGCACCGGAGGUAGAGCACUGGAUGGGCUAGGGGUCCUACCAGAUUACCAAACCCAACCAAACUCCGAAUGCCGGUGACAACUGCUAGGCAGUCAGGCUGCGGGUGAUAAGGUCCGUAGCCAAGAGGGAAAGAGCCCAGAUCGACAGCUAAGGUCCCCAAUCCAGACUAAGUGUGAAAGGAUGUGGGGGCGCUCAGACAGCCAGGAGGUUGGCUUAGAAGCAGCCAUCCUUUAAAGAAAGCGUAACAGCUCACUGGUCGAGCGAACCCGCGCCGAAAAUGUAACGGGGCUAAGUGUGGUACCGAAGCUUCGGGUUCUAAUUUAUUAGAGCGGUAGCGGAGCAUUCUCAGGCAGAUACAAGGUGUACCGUAAGGAGCACUGUCGGGCAUGAGAAGAGCUUAUGUAGGCAUGAGUAGCGAUAAAGAGGGUGAGAAACCCUCUCGCCGUAAGCCCAAGGUUUCCCAGGGAAGAAUAAUUCGCCUGUGGGUUAGUCGGCCCCUAAGUGGAGCCCGAAAGGGGUACAUGAUGGGAAGCAGGUUAAUAUUCCUGCACCACUGAGGAAUCCAUUGAUCUAAGCAGGGACGGAGAAGGAUAGGCCGAUCGGGCGAAUGGAAGUGCCCGUUCAAGCAGGUAGGAGGUUUCCGUAGGAGGCGAUAGCCACAAACGCGGAAACAUUACUCCGAGACGUGAUGAGGUGGAGCUCCGGCUCCGUAACUCGGUGAUUCCAUGCUUCCAAGAAAAGCUGCGUAGUGAGGGUCUUCAGUGACCGUACCGCAAACCGACUCAGGUGGGCGGGGUGAGAAUCCCAAGGCGCGUGAGAGAACACUGGCUAAGGAACUCGGCAAAUUGACACCGUAACUUCGGGAGAAGGUGUGCCCGUGUCCGUGACGAGCUUUGCGCUCCGAGCGGGUGUGGGUUGCAGAGAAACGAGGGUUGCGACUGUUUACCAAAAACACAGGACUCUGCGAACUUGUAAGAGGACGUAUAGGGUCUGACGCCUGCCCGGUGCUGGAAGGUUAAGAGGAGUUGUUAGCUUCGGCGAAGCAGUGAAUCGAAGCCCCAGUAAACGGCGGCCGUAACUAUAACGGUCCUAAGGUAGCGAAAUUCCUUGUCGGGUAAGUUCCGACCUGCACGAAUGGCGUAACGACAUCCCUACUGUCUCGGCCAGUGACUCAGCGAAAUUGUAUUGAGCGUGAAGAUACGCUCUACCCGCGACAAGACGGAAAGACCCCGUGAACCUUUACUGCAGCUUGGCAGUGAAGUUCGGGACAGUCUGCGUAGGAUAGGUGGGAGACUUCGAAGCCGGGAUUCUGGUUUCGGUGGAGUCAACCUUGAAAUACCACCCUGGCUGUUCUGGACUUCUAACCCAGCACCGUGAUCCGGUGCGGGGACAUUGCCUGGUGGGCAGUUUGACUGGGGCGGUCACCUCCCAAAAAGUAACGGAGGUGCGCGAUGGUUCCCUCAGGCUGAUUGGAAACCAGCCGUAGAGUGCAAAGGCAUAAGGGAGCUUAACUGUGAGACCGACAGGUCGAACAGAUGCGAAAGCAGGCCUUAGUGAUCCGGUAGCUCCGCAUGGAAGGGCUAUCGCUCAACGGAUAAAAGGUACUCCGGGGAUAACAGGCUGAUCGCGCCUGAGAGUUCAUAUCGGCGGCGCGGUUUGGCACCUCGAUGUCGGCUCAUCGCAUCCUGGGGCUGGAGCAGGUCCCAAGGGUUUGGCUGUUCGCCAAUUAAAGCGGUACGCGAGCUGGGUUCAGAACGUCGUGAGACAGUUCGGUCCUUAUCCGCCGUGGGCGUCAGGAAGUUUGAGGGGAUCUGUCCCUAGUACGAGAGGACCGGGAUGGACGGACCUCUAGUGUACCAGUUGUGUCGCCAGAUGCAUUGCUGGGUAGCUAUGUCCGGCAGGGAUAACCGCUGAAAGCAUCUAAGCGGGAAGCCCACCUCAAGAUGAGACUUCCCUCCACCUUCGGGUGGCUGAAGGGUCCUUGGAGACCACAAGGUUGAUAGGCGGGAAGUGCAAGUGCAGCAAUGUACUCAGCUGACCCGUACUAAUCACCCGUGAGGCUUGAUCU